GAUGAACGCUGGCGGCGUGCCUAAUACAUGCAAGUCGAGCGAACGGACGAGAAGCUUGCUUCUCUGAUGUUAGCGGCGGACGGGUGAGUAACACGUGGAUAACCUACCUAUAAGACUGGGAUAAUUUCGGGAAACCGGAGCUAAUACCGGAUAAUAUUUUGAACCGCAUGGUUCAAAAGUGAAAGACGGUCUUGCUGUCACUUAUAGAUGGAUCCGCGCUGCAUUAGCUAGUUGGUAAGGUAACGGCUUACCAAGGCAACGAUGCAUAGCCGACCUGAGAGGGUGGUCGCCGACACUGGAACUGAGACACGGUCCAGACUCCUACGGGAGGCAGCAGUAGGGAAUCUUCCGCAAUGGGCGAAAGCCUGACGGAGCAACGCCGCGUGAGUGAUGAAGGUCUUCGGAUCGUAAAGCUCUGUUAUUAGGGAAGAACAUAUGUGUAAGUAACUGUGCACAUCUUGACGGUACCUAAUCAGAAAGCCACGGCUAACUACGUG
rnacentral:rRNA from 1 species